GCACAGGUCGGGACCGGUCCCGACGAGACGCGCCGUACCGGGCAGAGCAAAGACGACGCACC
rnacentral:ncRNA from 1 species